GAGCGUGGUGCUGUCCCUUGCAAUUCCUCAGAGGGUAUUUAGUUAUAAUGAGAUUAUCCACGUGGAGACCUCGGGAAAGGUGGGGUGAAGGGGAGUGCAGCAAGGGUGAAAGCCCAGGAAAGAGAUUAUACAGUGAGAUGGAAAAUAGGACGGGUAGGGCUGGGCAAGCUGGUAGUCACUGGGGAUCUAAGACUAUUCAAAAUUACAGUUAGCGGCUUCAGAGGCAGUAAGAGUCUGUGAGAAUAUUAAUUUCUCCCUGGUUUCUGAUUGUUAUUCCCUAAUUAAUGUGUUUGGAAAGUGUUGGCAGUCACUUAUUAAGGAAGAAAAUAAGAGAGAACUUCCUUACCUUAACCAGUUAUUAGCUACUAGCAAAUGCCUGGCUACAGAUCAUAAUUGCUACUUAAAGGAUGUGAAAUUUAUAUAUGUAUACACAUAAUCAAUAUAUAAAUGUAGAAUUCCAUGUUUAAAAAGGUCUAGAGCUUCUGUCAAGGGUAUUGAGGCACUUAUCCUACACAAAGAAAUGCUAAGUGAGGGACAGAUCUAGAUACCACUGAGCUUUUUUUCAUUAACUUCCUUCUAAAUUUUAUGCAAAAAAUGUCAAAAUACAUGUAUACCACAGCUAUUUUGCUUCAUUUCGGUGAAAAAUAUCACAAUAUUAGUAACACUAAAAGCAGAUAGAAAAUAUUCACCUUGAAGGAAUGUUUAUGUUAAACAGUACUGGAGACAAGAGACUGUAAGGGAAUGAAGGGCUUAACCCCAGCCUGCACUGUACAAGCGAGAGAACAUCAUACAAAGUCACUGCAACAAAGAGGGGGGAGAAAACCCCAAACCAACAAAAAAAACUUACCACAUAUCCCCAUACUGCCACACAGGCUUACCUAAGAGGACUAAUUUAAAGACAACAGAGAAGAAAAUUACCAUGCAGUCUUUUAAUAGAGGGAAUUAUUGCUCCAUGUAGAAAUAUGUUCAAGAUCUUUCUUGUAUUUUGUGAAAUCAUAAGAAAUUUAAUCAUUGGUUUAAUUACUUGGGAACAACACAGUGCUGUCAUAGCUGAAGUCUAUAUCUGCCAGAAACUCUGCAGCAUGUUGCAAAGACAGAUGCGUAUAACAUAUUUAAGAACUUUAUCCUUUCUAGGAUAUGUUUUGCACAUUUAAUAUUAGAGAGAGAUUUAUUGUUAAAUGAAUCAUCUUCUGACAUCAAAGGUUUCAAACUUUUUAAUUCUGUCCUUAUGUUACAACCUUUGACACCUGAAGUCUUUAAUUGCAAAAGGUCUAUAGGGAAUCUAUAAAUUUUAAGUUUCAUAAACAUCAAACCUACAGGGAACACUGAACAAAUUGUAUUUUUGGUCUGUUUGUCCAGAAGAUGCAGAGGUUUUAGAAUUAUGUAUGGUACAGCUAAGUGAGGGUUUAGUUAAGUUCUUCUCUAGAAGAGAAUAAAAGGUUGUCUUUCUGACUGUGCAUCUCUAGAUGCUUCUGAGGCACCUAUAUGCUUUUCUUUGUGGAGAGGGAAAAGAUCAAUUUGUUUUCAUACUUCCUAAUGUCUAACAAAAAAGAGUUCACAAAAGGAAGCUUUACAGUAAAAGUGCUUGCCUAGAAAGUUUUUUAAAAAGCAAGAUUGGUUGUGAUAAGUGCAUAUAACAGGUUCUGUGUUCAGUUUCAAGAAGGUCUGAUGCAAUCCCCUGUGGAAAGACACUGCUGUGUUGUCUACACCUGCUUCAGAUAGGAACAUAUUUUUGAGAAGUUGAGGAGUUCACUCAAACUAAGAAAGGUAGACGUUUUCCAAGAAUUCCACUUACAAGGAGAUUCACAUCUUGUGUGUGCAACAGAGACAGAAGCCAAUCUUCUAGUAACAUCCUAAGAGACAUUUUUAUGAACUUCAGAGCAGGAAGUAAUCUUUCAUCAGGUACACUUUCUGACAAGGACAUAUCAAUGCAUAUAUUUCCAUGAAAGGAUAUUAACAGGCUGGUGGGAAAACUAGCAUUGUUUUCCACAGAUAAAAAUAAUAGAAGAAAAAAAGGUAGCAUGUCUUUUCAAGGUCAGUGAAUCAGUGAAAUAGCAAUUUGUUUUAAGGCCCAUGUAUUACUCAUAAAAUCAUACUUGUCUUUUUCUGCCUGGAGAAUUCUUUUCCUACUCCCAAUUCAUUUUUUCUCCCUAUUUUUCUCUUUUGAUUUUUCUUCAGUUUAUUUUUCCUCACUUAACCUCUGACUUUAUCUGAUGCUAAAAAAAGGACAAAAGGCAAAAGCCUACAGGAACCAGCAUAGUCAGAAUCUUGUCUUUUACUGACAUUUUACUGUCCAGCACUGCCUUUUAAUUCGUGGGAGAGAGCAGCAUUUCAUGCUGUAUAUAUUGCUGACAUGUGGAAUCAGGAAAAACAGUCACACUCCUGACUUCCUUUGAGAGUGGCUCCCUCAGCCAGGAAACAAUUCCCUUAAUGAAGCAGACAUGUAAUACCAGGGCAGCCCAGCAGCCUUUGUUGUAUUCAAAUCUUGUAUGCAUGGCAGUAUUUUUUACCUCUACUCAUAACCUUGGUACAUUUAUAGGUGUGUUGAAUUUUCAGGUUUUAAAUCAUCACAGUAAAAAAUAGCUCAAUCAUUCUUAUUUAUUGGAAAAGUCCCAUUUUUGUCACAGCAAUCUUAUUUUAAAUGUAAAUGUCCCAGAUUCAGAUUUCAUAGGAAGGAGGAGGUAUAAUGUAGAAGGUACAACAAUUAAAACUAUAUAAAACAGACUUUCAUGUCUCUGAGAGUUUGUUUACUCUUUCAGCUGUUCUCACUUUAAAUUCACCAAAUCAAGAUAUGAAGCACAUGAAAGGCUUGGGCUAUUCUGCCUUUCACAUCAUUAAAAUGUAGUGCUGUUCUCAGGAUAAGCUUUGUUGCUGUCUGAUAAAUAUUCAUAAAAGUCUUGAAUGCAAUUCAGCAGAGUUCUGUAAUCUCACAAAAUAAGUACUUCGAAAAAAUCCUAUCAGCUCUGCUAAAAUUGCCUGUACUUUUAUACAGUUUCCUCAGGUAAAAAAAACCCAAAAACCAAUAGUAAGAGUUAAGCAUUAUAUUGUCACAUAUUACAGGCACAGAAUUACUAGAGACUUUUCUAGGAUUUGGUUUUUUAUUCUCUGUGAUAAGAGUAAUGUUGCAGAAGCUGAUAGGUGUUGAAGCAACAGCAAAAAAUUAAGGAGCAGUCUAGGGUCCCACAAGGACUGCAGCUCUGUGCUGUGCCUCAAGGGAAAGUUAGAUGAGGUGAAGGGCUGUUUGGUUAGGUGGGA